AUGAACGCUGGCGGCGUGCCUAAUACAUGCAAGUCGAGCGAACAGACGAGGAGCUUGCUCCUCUGACGUUAGCGGCGGACGGGUGAGUAACACGUGGAUAACCUACCUAUAAGACUGGGAUAACUUCGGGAAACCGGAGCUAAUACCGGAUAAUAUAUUGAACCGCAUGGUUCAAUAGUGAAAGACGGUUUUGCUGUCACUUAUAGCUGGAUCCGCGCCGCAUUAGCUAGUUGGUAAGGUAACGGCUUACCAAGGCAACGAUGCGUAGCCGACCUGAGGGGGUGAUCGGCCACACUGGAACUGAGACACGGUCCAGACUCCUACGGGAGGCAGCAGUAGGGAAUCUCCGCAAUGGGCGAAAGCCUGACGGAGCAACGCCGCGUGAGUGAUGAAGGUCUUCGGAUCGUAAAACUCUGUUAUUAGGGAAGAACAAAUGUGUAAGUAACUAUGCACGUCUUGACGGUACCUAAUCAGAAAGCCACGGCUAACUACGUG
rnacentral:rRNA from 1 species